GACGGAGGAUGCAAGUGUUAUCCGGAAUCACUGGGCGUAAAGCGUCUGUAGGUUGUUUAAAAAGUCUGCGGUUAAAGGUUGAAGCUUAACUUCAAAAAUGCCGUAGAAACUUUUAAACUAGAGGAUGGUAGGGGUAGAGGGAAUUUCCAGUGGAGCGGUGAAAUGUGUAGAUAUUGGAAAGACCACCGAUGGCGAAGGCACUCUACUGGGCCAUGACUGACACUGAGAGACGAAAGCUAGGGGAGCAAAUGGG
rnacentral:rRNA from 1 species